rnacentral:tRNA from 1 species
AAGAAAGUGGCAGAGUGGUUAUGCGGCCGGCUUGAAACCGGCAUAUGGGGGUUCAAUUCCUUCCUUUCUCG